AGGGAAUAGUGGUCUUGGGUGGUUAGAGAGGGAAUAGUGGUCUUGGGUGGUUGGGGAGGGAAUAGUGGUCUUGGGUGGUUAGAGAGGGAAUAGUGGUCUUGGGUGGUUAGAGAGGGAAUAGUGGUCUUGGGUGGUUGGGGAGGGAAUAGUGGUCUUGGGUGGUUAGAGAGGGAAUAGUGGUCUUGGGUGGUUAGAGAGGGAAUAGUGGUCUUGGGUGGUUGGGGAGGGAAUAGUGGUCUUGGGUGGUUAGAGAGGGAAUAGUGGUCUUGGGAGGUUAGGGAGGGAAUAGUGGUCUUGGGUGGUUAGGGAGGGAAUAGUGGUCUUGGGUGGUUGGGGAGGGAAUAGUGGUCUUGGGUGGUUAGAGAGGGAAUAGUGGUCUUGGGAGGUUAGGGAGGGAAUAGUGGUCUUGGGUGGUUAGAGAGGGAAUAGUGGUCUUGGGAGGUUAGGGAGGGAAUAGUGGUCUUGGGUGGUUAGAGAGGGAAUAGUGGUCUUGGGAGGUUAGGGAGGGAAUAGUGGUCUUGGGUGGUUAGAGAGGGAAUAGUGGUCUUGGGUGGUUAGAGAGGGAAUAGUGGUCUUGGGUGGUUAGAGAGGGAAUAGUGGUCUUGGGUGGUUAGGGAGGGAAUAGUGGUCUUGGGUGAUUAGGGAGGGAAUAGUGAUCUUCAGUGGUUAGAGAGGGAAUAGUGGUCUUGGGUGGUUAGGGAGGGAAUAGUGGUCUUCAGUGGUUAGAGAGGGAAUAGUGGUCUUGGGAGGUUAGGGAGGGAAUAGUGAUCUUCAGUGGUUAGAGAGGGAAUAGUGGUCUUGGGAGGUUAGGGAGGGAAUAGUGGUCUUGGGUGGUUAGAGAGGGAAUAUUGGUCUUGGGUGGUUAGGGAGGGAAUAGUGGUCUUGGGUGAUUAGGGAGGGAAUAGUGGUCUUGGGUGAUUAGGGAGGGAAUAGUGGUCUUGGGUGGUUAGGGAGGGAAUAGUGGUCUUGGGUGGUUUGAGAGGGAAUAUUGGUCU